UAUUGCUGAUGAGUAGAUUUCAUGGACUUCCCAUCAAAGGGCCUCCCAUAACCCUGAGGAAUUAAAAAGGGCAUAGGGCCUAAAAGUCAGGGUGGAAAUAUACCAUGUAGCAAGUAGCCUAUAGCACAUCAUCCUCGCUAGCAAAAGGAGAUGGAUGUGUCAUCAUACCAGUCAUAAAGCGGGGGUGAGGAGCAACAGGUGAAUGGUCAAUGGGACAUUGUGUGCUCAUGAAAUGUUAGGCUGCUUAGAGGAAAGCUUUCUUUUCUAAGAGGAAUAUAUAAGAAGAAAGGAAGAGAAAAGCUGGGAAGAUUUGCAUAGGUUGCAGAUUGCAAGGGGAAAGCAGAAAGAAAUGGAAAAGAUGACCUGACAUUUCUUUCUGAAAGGAAA